rnacentral:lncRNA from 1 species
UUUGUUUCUCUUAAGUGUCUAAUAUAUUUUCACAUUUCUCUUGAAAGUUGGAACUCAAACUCCAGUUAGAGACCAAGUAAUGCUAGUUAUAACAAAAGGUUGACUUGCAGGCUCUUGUUACCACCAAUUCAGUGCCCUGAUUUUUUUUACAGAAUGAUGGUAGAUGCACCAUGGCUUCCCAUAGUCCUGACUUUCCCAUUUUCCUGCUCUUGUGCAUUGCUAGGCAUUUGCCAUUGAGAAUUCUAACCUAAACUAUCAAUGAUCACUCUUGCCUGCUAUUGUUUAGUAAGUACCUGUCCUUCCCUUCUUUCAGUCUUUACCUUAUUCAGUGGUAGGUCCCUGGAGGGUGAUUUAGACAGGCAAUGGGAGUGAAGAACGUGAUACCGCUACCAUUAUUACAUAAGAGCCCAAGGUUCAAAAUAAAUCAGGUCGAAAACACCUCUUUUCCCACUCCUCCCCUGUCUUCCCUCUUCCAACUUCCUGAACAAAGCAGAGAAAAUUUUCCUUUUCAACCUCCAUGUAAAUCUCCCAGGGGGCCUUUUAUGCCUUCCUUGCUUCUCUGCCCCAAAGUAGAGUGUAGGAAUCAUGAGAAAAAUGUAGAGUGU